UAGAAAGCCGUGAAGGGGCCAUGGGCAAACUCUGUUGGUCGUGCUAAUGCUCGUGUAUUAUCAGGAAGCAAAAGAUUAUCAGCAGAUUCUUUUGGGAGCCAUUUUGAUCAUUCAUUUUCUUACUUAACAAACAGUGUCGGUUUUCAGUAACCCUCUCUAGUUAAGUCUAUGGUGCUUCCUCAAAGUGUAAAUAAUCUGAAGAUAGCUGAGGUUGAAAAUUUGAUGAUUUACACACGUCAGAAUAAAUAAUUUUAGAAUUGAGGUCAUUAUCUUUUGUUAUAUUUAGUUAUUUACAGGCUAAGAAGUGAUGUGGAACCAAGGAGCGGGAGCUCUGAACACAAUUGCCAGAAUGGAUAUAGUACUUAAAUCAGCACCUUGUAACUCUAUUGUGAUUUUAUAUCCCCAUCACAUGAUAUGCACUUCUGAACUUUUCUUCUUGUUUUAAUGCCUUCUUUGGGUAUCAAACUUGACUUAGAAGAUCCAUGAGUUGAUUUAAAAGAUUUCCGCUUGAAGCUAAUGCACAAGAGAAUAAGUAGGAUAUAGAGCACAGGAUAGAGGAGCGCAAGAAGAUGGAACUGCAUGAGAAAGUUUCAAGAGCUAUUCGGUCUCUGGAAUCGCCUGAAAGGAGCAUUUUGAAAAAAAUUUCACGAACAACAGGAGAAGCUGGGACGCCAUUAAGUUCAUAUGUUUCUUGGACUUUGGAUGGACCAAGUCGAAGGUAGUUAUGAGAUCAUCUAGUGGAAUUUUCAACCCCUAGGAUGACAACUGAUGAAGUGCGGCGAGUACAAAAUACUUUAAGCACUGGGUGUAUCUUGACAAUCAAUCUCUUGGAUCCUUCUAGAUCAACGGGCUCUCUUCUUAUGAUCUUGAGCGCCCCUGUAGAUUCUGGCAAGCUGGUUACAAGACUCCCUUCAGCAAGUGGUGGGACGUCCAGAAUCCAGAUGCCCAUAUCCCCAUACCAUGUAUAAAUCUGUCUUCUCUUAGCUUCUCUUUCGUGCUAGCAUGGGUUGUUUCUAGUAGAGACAGAAGUUAGUGGUUGAAAAUUGAGAUUUGUCUGGGUUACAUUGACUUCCUUGGUAACCAGCACUAUAUAGAAUAAAAGUACUCUAGCACGCCGUAGAUAAUGAAAUCUAAUAGGCAAAUAGAUUUUCAACCUUGUAAGCACUUAGCAGUAGUUCUUCAUGGGAUUUACUCCUUAGGCUUUUGAUGUAGAAUAGAUGGCUGAGUGGAUUGAAAAAGAAAAAAGUAAUAGUGCAAGUAUGGCAGUUGAGCUCCGAUUUGGGCCCGUAAUACUAUUCUGGAAAUCUGUUUUUAAAGUUUUAGUGCUAUUUUUAUCAUUUAGUUUAUUUUGAAUUCUUUGCAAUUUUUGUUUAAAGUAGGUUUUCAUGUAAACCCUUGUAAAUAAAGGGUUAAUUCAUCAUUUUUCUUUUUAUCAACUUUGAAUUAAUAAAAUUCGUUAGUUUUUUUCAUAAUUUGGUGGGUUACAAAAUUCAUGUUCUUUCAAUUAAGGUUUCGCUUGAAUUCCCUGUUUCACAUUUUAGGCAAGAUGCUUUAUGUAAUUAUUAUGCUAAUCGUCGCAGAGUGACUGGAUCAAAAUUGAUAAAUUUCUCUUAAGUAACCACUUAUAGUUCAAUUUUUGUGUCUAUCCUUUCAGCAGGUUGCUAUUCGCAUAAGCUAUGACUUUCGAAGAAGAUGUGGAUGGAAAUAUUUGUUAAAUUCAUAAAUGUUUAAUGUUUUAUAUCAGGAGUUGGAGUCAUAAUUAGAUUAUUCUAGAGGUAAAGAUUUCUUUUAUAGGAUUGAUGAAAACUUAGAGGGUAUUUCACUUUUCUAAAACAAACAACAGUUUGGAUUGAUAAUCGUAAAUGACUUUUCACUUAACAAUUAAUAUGCCCUAGACGCAUUUCAUCUGACACAAUGAAAUAUAUUACCUCUUGUACUAGCAGACUAACUUUGUUGUAGUAAUAAGGUUCUUUCUGAUUUUAUGUAGGACAAACAACCUCCCACUGUGAGGGGCUCGCUGCAUUCACUUGGUUGGGGAAUAUGCUAUUUCAUUUCCAGCUGGCGUUUGGGAUCACUUUCAUAGAAUAAGAAUGCAAAAACUAGUGCCUUUUUAUUUUAACUUCAUGUAGGCAUUGGUCUUGUACUGUAAGGAAAAAAUGAUUUGCCAUUCAGAUUUUGAAGUCUUGUGAUUAUUUCAUAUAUUGUUAUGAUAAUUUAAGAAUGUAUAGAUGGUAAACUGCUGAUAAAUAAUGCGAAUAACAAGAUGGUAAGCAAUAGUGGUGGUGGCAUAUCCACAAAAGUAGUUUCUUCAAGUGUUGACUUGUAGUUCACUGAAGAAUGUAGCAUUGUUAUUGUUCAUUGGCUAAUUUUUUGAUAUCGAGGCUUAUUCUAUAUUGCAGUACUGAAGCAAAUGGGCGACCAAGAUCUGAAAGAGUUGGGAAUUCCCACGGAAUUUUUUUCAUUCAUUUUUGACUAAAAUAAUUGAUCGUAGGAUGCAUGCCCCGGGCGAACCUUUUCGUGUUUAUUUGAACUGUUGUUGGUGACAGGCUAGAGGACUCAUAUUUCAUGUCACCGUCAAAUUACGCAAAAACACGACAAAAAUCAUUUAUCAAACGCCAAAAAGCUGAGAAGAACGCACAAAAUAACGAAAGACUGUAACAUAAUGAUCAUGGAUUUAUAGCCCCAAGGUUGUGACUGGUGGAAAUACCUCUUUCUAUGUCAUAAAAUGCCAUUAAAAUUUAAGUGUCAAGUUUUCUGCUGCUUCUCGAAAGCAAAAGGUAAGAAGUCUCUCACCAUUGUGUCUGCUUGAAUAAAGUAUGAUUUGUUCCAACCUCAAUUAGAUAGCGGCAUCAUCUAAUUUGCAAGCGACGUCAUGUAAUUGCAAGUAGUAAUAUUGAUUCCUCGAGUGCAGGAGGAGAAAGUAACACUGAUUUCAUCUGAUUUGCUAUUUGGCAGGGACCAAGGAAGAAGAUUCAUCUUGCUGUAUUGGCCCGUAUAAAGCAAUCAACAGCACAAGCAAGCACAUUGCAACCAUGUGCAUUAGGUUAUAGGUGAAGAAUGUUUAUGAAUCUGGGAUUAAGAAUCAGUAAUUCGAUUUGAAAAACCUAGGAAUGUAACAAAUUGAUGGUUAUUGGAUACAGUUUGUGAACAUACGGACAAUGAUGCCAUGCCAUGAAAUAAAUGCUUGUUUUAUAGCACCUCCGUCG
rnacentral:lncRNA from 1 species